CAGCAGAUGCGUGGAUUAGAACCCAGGUCCUUCUGACUCCAGACUCCGAUUCUUCCCGAAGCUUGGCACGGGCCUACGUGAGCUAGGCGUUUUCUCGAAACCGAGGUCUUUUCAAGAAGACAAAACUCUGACCUCUCGGCCGACCUCAUUCUGCAAAAAGAGGAGUGCGGAGCCUAUCCGUCUGUAGUGCGAGACGAGAUGUGGUCACUGAGGCUCAGAGAAGUGAAGUGAC